rnacentral:snoRNA from 1 species
AAGACUGCACUUUCUGGGAUCAUACCUGUAGUUCAUUACUAGAGAAGUUUCUCUGAACGUGUAUAGCACUGAAAACCAUGAGGAGGCACAGUGUUCUCUACUGAGAGCGAAGCUGGCUCUUACAGUUGCUUUGCUGCAACUACCAUUUGCCACUAAUGAUCAUUCGUCCCUUCCUCUGGAAGAGAAAGAGAGAGAGAAUGCAAUCUGAGUGGU